rnacentral:lncRNA from 1 species
GAUAGAUUUUAAGAAAUAUAAAAUAAUCCGAAUUGAAUUCCUUUUGAUCCUUCAACAAUUUUGGCCUCAAAACUUCCCUCAGAUUUAGGAUUCACUCCACUUCCUGGACCCUUAUCAAGGCUUCUGAAAAAAUGGUCUGAUAAUCUUAAAUGGAGUGUUCGCGAAAAAUGAAGGGUGGUAAACAGACUUACAGCGAAAAAUUAUCGAUGGAAGAAUAUGGCUGUUUAUACCUGUAAGUGUUGUUGCUUCAUAUCCUAGCAUUCUACCGUACAUCUUAGCCAGGCUGUACUUUACAGAUAUCAUGAUCACGUGAUUACUGUGCAGUACCUGUACAGUUAAGGGGAUUUAGACAUUAAAGGGACUGUAAGCGUAAAUUCAAGUGACCCUCCAUGCAAAGAUAACAAUGCUAG